GUUUUGGAGUUGGUUGGAUGAGAUCUGAUCACUUUGGAUUCCCGGUUGGUCCCAAGGGCAAUUUCGUCAUUAGAUGCGAAAUCUUGGAUUUUUGGAGUUUUGUACUAAGUUGAGCUAUGUACUUUGCUUAGGUACUAUUGGAGAUUGAGUUGCUCGUUGAGGUUUGAGAUUGAGGAUUCGUUAAGUUGUUGAAGACGCAGCUUGGACGAGAUGGGAAAAUCCUGCAGGUGGUAGAGACGGUGAGCAGGAGAAUUAAGGUGAGGAGCAGGAGGCUCAUUGGUGGUUCCACAGACUGUAAAGUGUGGUGUGAGAGUGUUGGUGAGUGUUAGACUUCCGCUGUGUGAAAUAAGCUCUGAGGAGCAUAUUAUGUAAAAUGAUGAUUGUUCAUUUAUGUUGUGAGUUUGUAAUGUAAUAUUUGACUCAGAAGAGUUGAGUCAUUAUUGACAUUGUGGUUCGGAACAGUGGUGUUGUAUCAAGAAAGAAAAGUUUAAAUUUCUAGGUACUUUUGUUGAA